GAAAAACAUAAUUUUAUUUGUCCUGGCAUUGUCAUGAAGUCAAGUUCACUAAUCUUUAGUUGUCACAAACCUGAAGCCUAAAUUUGUGUGGCAUGCAGGCUCUUUCUAGUGGUACACAAGCGGUACAUAGAUUUGGUCAAUUUAUAUUGAUGUUGAUAUUUAAUGUAGAAUAAUGUGUUCCUGAGACCAAACUGUCACCCUCAUUAAAACCUUUUACUGACAUGCAUGCUAAAUUUGAUUGAUUAUCCUAUGAGCUCAAUGAAAAGGUAACAAGUCUAAUACCAGCUUAUUGGAAACAACGCAAUUGCAAAAAAUUGAAAGACUCUUCACUUCAUGACAUGUCCUCUUUUGUAAUCAAUCAUUGAAAACACCUCGGCAGUGGCGCUGCCAUUCAAAUAAAGGCGCUAAAUACACAGAACGCACUACGUUAGCCUAUCAUCAAUCCCGUUACUUGAUUGACAUAGAGGGCAACCAAUCAGAUGACUGAAUCACUGCUCACGCGCAAACAAUGGCGCUAAGCUAGUCAGCGAAUUACCUCUGAUUUUAAGGCUGGGGUGUCUAAUACGUCGAUCGCAAUCAACCGGGAGCCAGCGGACUGGCCCCAGGGGUGGGAGGAGGAAAUGGAGGGGGGGGCAAUAAAGAUUUGUGUGUUUUUAGGGGUGUUCACGCGGCACACAUUUGCUCCGGCGCUGCACCAAUGUAGUUUGUUGCGAUAUAUUUUGCACCGCAGUAAAUUGUGUGGAGCGUUCACACGUACAAAGCCGCAGAGCGUGCCAGCACCGGCGCAGCGUCGGUGCAGCCCCACUUGCGUUCACACGGCAGCUUCUGCAGCGGAGCAAAACGACAGAAAACAAAUGCGCUGUCGUUUUGUUUUUUUUAAACGUAAUACAUAUACACAACUCAAGCGACUACUGGACAGGCAUGUCCUUCUCCUUCUCGGUCUCCGUGCCUUUUGCUCGAGAGUGACCGCCCCCGAAAACGUAAAUCAACGAUGACUUCAAUGACACUCAGAAAAGCAAACACAUAAUGCGCCAAACAGAAAAUCAAGAGAGGAAAUCACAAAAUAAAUUAUAUGGGGGGCGGGGGGUUGUGAACACACAACAAA